rnacentral:rRNA from 1 species
GACGAACGCUGGCGGCGUGCUUAACACAUGCAAGUCGAACGAAGAGCGAUGGAAGCUUGCUUCUAUUAAUCUUAGUGGCGAACGGGUGAGUAACGCGUAAUCAACCUGCCCUUCAGAGGGGGACAACAGUUGGAAACGACUGCUAAUACCGCAUACGAUCCAAUCUCGGCAUCGAGACUGGAUGAAAGGUGGCCUCUAUUUAUAAGCUAUCACUGAAGGAGGGGAUUGCGUCUGAUUAGCUAGUUGGAGGGGUAACGGCCCACCAAGGCGAUGAUCAGUAGCCGGUCUGAGAGGAUGAACGGCCACAUUGGGACUGAGACACGGCCCAGACUCCUACGGGAGGCAGCAGUGGGGAAUCUUCCGCAAUGGACGAAAGUCUGACGGAGCAACGCCGCGUGAGUGAUGACGGCCUUCGGGUUGUAAAGCUCUGUUAAUCGGGACGAAUGGUUCUUGUGCGAAUAGUGCGAGGAUUGACGGUACCGGA